rnacentral:rRNA from 1 species
UACGUAGGGUGCAAGCGUUGUCCGGAAUUACUGGGUGUAAAGCGCGUGUAGGCGGCAGGCCAAGUCUGCGGUGAAAGCGCCCGGCUCAACUGGGCGAGGUCCGUGGAAACUGGUCAGCUGGAGGACGGUAGAGGCGAGUGGGAUUCCCGGUGUAGUGGUGAAAUGCGUAGAGAUCGGGAGGAACACCUGUGGCGAAGGCGGCUCGCUGGGCCGGUCCUGACGCUGAGACGCGAAGGCGUGGGAGCGAACGGG